rnacentral:rRNA from 1 species
UACGUAGGGGGCAAGCGUUGUCCGGAUUUAUUGGGCGUAAAGAGCGUGUAGGCGGCUUGGUAGGUCCGCUGUGAAAACUCGAGGCUCAACCUCGAGAUGUCGGCGGAAACCACUUGGCUAGAAGUCCGGAAGAGGAGAGUGGAAUUCCCGGUGUAGCGGUGAAAUGCGCAGAUAUCGGGAAGAACACCUAUGGCGGAAGGCAGCUCUCUGGGACGG